GAUCAAUAUGUCGGUCGUGCCUUCGGUACGUACUGGUAUCAUUGGUUUCUCCUUUCUGACGAACCAUGAUGUCAUUAAUUUGGUGUUAUGGGGAGUUAGGACUGUUACUUUGAAAAUUAGAGUGUUUAAAGCAGGCUUUAGCUUGAAUACAUUAGCAUGGAAUAAUGAAAUAGGACAUCCGAUUCUAUUUUGUUGGUUUCUAGGAUCGAUGUAAUGAUUAAUAGGGAUAGUUGGG
rnacentral:rRNA from 1 species